AUUUAUUUAGUAUAAUUAUAGUACUUUUGAUUUCCAAUCAAAAAGCCUAAAAAUAAUUUAGAAUAAAUA
rnacentral:tRNA from 1 species